GUGAAAAUAGGAAGUGACAGCGGGAGGUGUGACAAUGUGUGAAAUAUAUAAAGCUGAGAGCUGAAGGCUUGGACGAUCAGAGCGCUGCUUUCGAGCGUCACAUUCACCGGGAACUACAAGGAGCACAAGAUGACGACUCCUACCGCUAACUUUAUGACUGUUGGAAAUAACAGCCCUGCCAAGACAUUCCUUGACUCAAAUUUUCGUUACACUCUCUUUCCUAUAUUCUAUGGACUGGUCUUUCCCUUGGGGUUGAUUGCCAACUGCUACGCUCUUUAUGUGCUGCACCAUAUGCGGGAGUGUAAAGCCAUGAAUGAGAUUCGGAUCUACAUGACCAACUUAACUGUUGCAGACCUGCUGUUUGUGGCCGCUCUACCAUUCUGGAUUGACUACUACAAGAAUAAAGGCGACUGGAAGAGCCCAGAACCCCUCUGUGCUAUCACAGGCUCCCUUUUCUUCAUCAACACAUACUGCUCUAUUCUCUUCCUUGCUGUCAUCAGCAUUAACCGUUACUGGGCCGUUACCAGGCCGCUGGUAGCUGCUUCUUCUGACUGCUGGAAACGUGGAGCAAUCAUCUCAGCGCUCAUCUGGGUCAUCACUCUUGCAGCUUCAAUUACAUAUCUCACUAAUACGGGAAUCCAGAAGGACAAUAACAUUUCUCGCUGUUUUGAGGGUUAUCAAAAUGAGGAGGAAUCUAAAAUAAACACAGUGGCCGCCACCCACUUCAUCAUUAUUGCCUUGUUCUUUCUUGUUUUCUUGAUGGUGAUUGUCUGCAACAUUUUGAUUGCUCGAGCUCUUCUAAAGCAGCCCAUCAGUCAGCCUCGAGGCAGCACAGGAAAGCGUCCCGGUGGUACUAAGCGCAGAGCUUUGAGGAUGCUGUGUACUGUCAUAGGCGUCUUUGUGAUCUGUUUCCUCCCCCACCACGUGGUGCAGGGUCCCUGGGUGUUGUCUGUGCUGCACAUGAGGAAAGAAUGGAAAAACACAACUCACCAAAGAUUAAACGAUGCUCACCAGAUCACCCUCAUGCUUAUGGGGCUCAACUGCCUACUGGACCCGCUGGUGUAUUGCUUCGCCACUACAAUGUUCCGCAAGUACAUCCAGAACCAUUUCACAAAGGUCAAGCAAAGCAAAAACUGUUCACGCAACACAUUAAGCACAGCUAUGUCACUGAAGAGCAGACAUCAGAGUGAAAAAUCAGAAAACUGCUGAGAAAUAUUUGGUGUCUGCUUAUUUUAGCCAAUUGUAAUCUUAUAUACUGUAGCUUAGAAAACUGCUGAGAAAUAUUUAUUGUCUGCUUAUUUUAACCAAUUAUAAUCUUAUAUAGAUUUAGAUUCUGGUGGAAAUUAAUUUCAGUUCCAAAUUAGGUUCUGUUUGGAUUCUUAAAGGAAUAGUUCAUCUAAAAAUUAAAAUACUGUCAUCAUUUACUCAACCUCAUAUUGUUCCAAAGGAGUUACCGUGAUACUGGGCAAAUGAUGACAGAACUUUCAUUUUUAGGUAAACCCCUUUAAAUGGAAAACAAAUUAUUGACAUGAUCUUCAGUUGCUGCCCCUUGCAGAUAAAUGAGAGAAUUCCAUCUCUUCAAAUUGUUCAAUGCAUAUGAUAAAUAGGGGUGUGACGGUUCGUAUAUAACUGUGAGGCCGGCGGUUAUAGUUGAACACCGUCAUUAGAACUCUAUAACCGCCAAAACCGUGUCAUUAAAAUAUUUUU